AUUGAACGCUGGCGGCGUGCCUAACACAUGCAAGUCGAGCGGUAACAGGUGUAGCAAUACAUGCUGACGAGCGGCGGACGGGUGAGUAACGCUUGGGAAUCUGCCUAUUAGUGGGGGACAACCCGGGGAAACUCGGGCUAAUACCGCAUACGCACUACGGUGGAAAGCCGGGGACCGCAAGGCCUGGCGCUAACAGAUGAGCCCAAGUCGGAUUAGCUAGUUGGUAGGUAACGGCCUACCGAGGCGACGAUCCGUAACUGGUCUGAGAGGACGACCAGUCACACCGGAACUGAGACACGGUCCGGACUCCUACGGGAGGCAGCAGUGGGGAAUAUUGGACAAUGGCGAAAGCCUGAUCCAGCGACGCGCGUGGGUGAAGAAGGCCUGCGGGUUGUAAGCCCUUUCAGUGGGGAAGAAAGCCUCGAGCUAAUAUCUCGGGUCUUGACGUAACCCAUAGAAGAAGCACCGGCUAACUCUGUGCCAGCCGCCGC
rnacentral:rRNA from 1 species